rnacentral:rRNA from 1 species
GUACUCAGUUCGGAUUGAAGGCUGAAAUUCGCCUCCAUGAAGCUGGAAUUGCUAGUAAUGGCAGGUCAGCAUACUGCCGUGAAUACGUUCCCGGGCCUUGUACACACCGCCCGUCACACCAUGAGAGUUGGAAAUACCUGAAGCCUGUGAGCUAACUUUUAGAGGCAGCAGUCGAAGGUAGAGCCAAUGAUUGGGGUGAAGUCGUAACAAGGUACC